GGGGUAAUGAUGCCAUGAAUUACAUAAUUCAUGCCGGUCCCAAGCCCGGAGAAAGUCAGAGGGACCC
rnacentral:ribozyme from 2 species